UAGUGAACAAGCUGCACUGCAGGCACCUUGCCAGUCAAUCCCAGGCUGCGCAGGUAGCACCAUUAGAAACUAUGGUGAGAGUUCACAGUCUCAAUCAAGUGCAUGGAAGGAUGCUGCAGAUGAAAUGUGUUGUACAUCGAGUGAAAGAACAUUCAUUGGAAAAGGAUGAAGGUAACAACUUAAAAUGGCUUCUUCCAUCUACUGGUGACUGGCAAUCUCUGUUGGCAGUUACAUUUA
rnacentral:lncRNA from 1 species